rnacentral:rRNA from 1 species
UACCAGCACCCCGAGUGGUCGGACGAUUAUUGGGCCUAAAGCAUCCGUAGCCGGUCAUGCAAGUCUUCCGUUAAAUCCAGCCGCUCAACGGUUGGGCUGCGGAGGAUACUACGUGGCUAGGAGGCGGGAGAGGCAAGCGGUACUCAGUGGGUAGGGGUAAAAUCCUUUGAUCCAUUGAAGACCACCAGUGGCGAAGGCGGCUGCCAGAACGCGCUCGACGGUGAGGGAU